rnacentral:rRNA from 1 species
GUAGGUGGCAAGCGUUGUCCGGAAUUAUUGGGCGUAAAGCGCGCGCAGGUGGUUCUUUAAGUCUGACGUGAAAGCCCCCCGGCUCAACCGGGGAGGGUCAUUGGAAACUGGGGAACUUGAGUGCAGGAGAGGAAAGUGGAAUUCCACGUGUAGCGGUGAAAUGCGUAGAUAUGUGGAGGAACACCAGUGGCGAAGGCGACUUUCUGGCCUGUAACUGACACUGAGGCGCGAAAGCGUGGGGAGCAAACAGGAUUAGAUACCCUGGUAGUCCACGCCGUAAACGAUGAGUGCUAAGUGUUGGGGGGUUUCCCGCCCCUCAGUGCUGCAGCUAACGCAUUAAGCACUCCGCCUGGGGAGUACGGUCGCAAGACUG